GUGAGUAAUGCCUAGGAAUCUGCCUGGUAGUGGGGGAUAACGCUCGGAAACGGACGCUAAUACCGCAUACGUCCUACGGGAGAAAGCAGGGGACCUUCGGGCCUUGCGCUAUCAGAUGAGCCUAGGUCGGAUUAGCUAGUUGGUGAGGUAAUGGCUCACCAAGGCGACGAUCCGUAACUGGUCUGAGAGGAUGAUCAGUCACACUGGAACUGAGACACGGUCCAGACUCCUACGGGAGGCAGCAGUGGGGAAUAUUGGACAAUGGGCGAAAGCCUGAUCCAGCCAUGCCGCGUGUGUGAAGAAGGUCUUCGGAUUGUAAAGCACUUUAAGUUGGGAGGAAGGGCAGUUACCUAAUACGUAUCUGUUUUGACGUUACCGACAGAAUAAGCACCGGCUAACUCUGUGCCAGCAGCCGCGGUAAUACAGAGGGUGCAAGCGUUAAUCGGAAUUACUGGGCGUAAAGCGCGCGUAGGUGGUUCGUUAAGUUGGAUGUGAAAUCCCCGGGCUCAACCUGGGAACUGCAUUCAAAACUGACGAGCUAGAGUAUGGUAGAGGGUGGUGGAAUUUCCUGU
rnacentral:rRNA from 1 species